rnacentral:rRNA from 1 species
CCUACGGGUGGCAGCAGUGGGGAAUAUUGCACAAUGGGCGAAACCCUGAUGCAGCGACGCCGCGUGAGUGAAGAAGUAAUUCGUUACGUAAAGCUCUAUCAGCAGGGAAGAAACACUGACCUUACGGUCAGCAGACGGUACCUGAGUAAGAAGCCCCGGCUAACUACGUGCCAGCAGCCGCGGUAAUACGUCGGGGGCAAGCGUUAUCCGGGUGUACUGGGUGUAAAGGGAGCGUAGACGGUGCGCCAAGUCUGGAGUGAAAUGCCGCGGCAUAACUGCGGAACUGCUUUGGAAACUGGCGAACUAGAGGGCGCGAGAGGUAAGCGGAAUGCGUGGUGUAGCGGUGAAAUGCGUAGAUAUCAGGAGGAACAUCGGUGGCGUAAGCGCUAUACUGGGGCGUAAUUGACACUGAGGAACGAAAGCGGGGGUAGCAAAUGGGAUUAGAUACCCGAGUAGUC